UAUAAAACGCCAAUAAACCCCCAAAAAAUCCCAAAUAAAUCCCGAAUAAAUCCUCAAUAAAUCCCAUAUAAAUCCCCAAUAAACCCCCAAUAAAUCCCAAAUAAAUCCCAUAUAAACUCCCAAUAAAUCCCAUAUAAACUCCCAAUAAAUCCCCAAAAAUCCUAUAUAAAUCCCCAAAAAAUCCCCAAUAAAUCCCAUAUAAAUCCCAUAUAAAACCCCAAUAAACCCCCAAUAAAUCCCCAAUAAAUCCCAUAUGAAAUCCCCAAUAAAUCCCAUAUAAAUCCCCAAUAAAUCCCAUAUAAAACCCCAAUAAAUCCCAUAUAAAUCCCCAAUAAAUCCCAUACAAAUCCCAUAUAAAUCCCAUAUAAAUCCCAUAUAACUCCCCAACAAAUCCCCAAUAAAUUCCAUAUAAAUUCCCAAUAAAUCCCAUAUAAAUUCCCAAUAAAUCCCAUAUAAAAGCCCAAUAAAUGCCAUAUAAACCCCCAAUAAAUCCCAUAUAAAACCCCAAUAAAUCCCCAAAAUAUCCCAUAUAAACCCCCAAAAAUCCCCAAUAAAUCCCAUAUAAAAUCCCAUAUAAAUCCCAUAUAAAACCCCAAUAAAUCCCCAAUAAAUCUGCCAUAAAUCCCAUCUAAAUCCCAUAUAAAACCCCAAUAAAUCCCAUAUAAAUCCCCAAUAAAUCCCAUAUAAAAUCCAUAUAAAUCUCAUAUAAAACCCCAAUAAAUCCUGUAUAAAUCCCGUAUAAAAUCCAUAUAAACCUGCUCGGGGUUGCUGAGGUUCUCGGACUCCUCCAGGACGUUUUCCCCCACGAAGAUCUCGGGGUGGGCAAAGAGCAGCUCCAGCAGCUCCUCGAUGCAGCCCAGGCACUUCUGCCACAAUUCCGGCUAAAAAUAAAUAAAAAAUUAUAAAUAAUCUUAAAUAAUGCUAAAUUUACUCCAUAAAUCAGCCCAGGCACUUCUGCCAUAGCUCCGGCUGGAAAUAAAUUAAAAAAAUAUAAAUAAUCCUAAAUAAUC
rnacentral:lncRNA from 1 species